UACAGGGGGUGCAAACGUUGCUCGGAAUUACUGGGCGUAAAGGGCUCGUAGGCGGCCAACUAAGUCAGACGUGAAAUCCCUCGGCUUAACCGGGGAACUGCGUCUGAUACUGGAUGGCUUGAGUUCGGGAGAGGGAUGCGGAAUUCCAGGUGUAGCGGUGAAAUGCGUAGAUAUCUGGGAAGAACGACCGGUGGCGAAGGCGGCAUCCUGGACCGAUACUGACGCUGAGGAGCGAAAGCCAGGGGAGCAAAGCGGG
rnacentral:rRNA from 1 species